AACGAACGUUAGCGGUGUGGAUUAGGCAUGCAAGUCGAGCGUGAAAGUCCGCAAGGACGAGUAAAGCGGCGAAAGGGUGAGUAACACGUAACCAAUCUAUCCACGAGACCGGAAUAACCGGCGGAAACGCUGGCUAAUGCCGGAUGGUCCUGUCGGGAGGCAUCUCCCGACACGUAAACGGUGGCGCAAGCUGCUGCUCGAGGAGGGG
rnacentral:rRNA from 1 species